UACGAAGGGGGCUAGCGUUGUUCGGAAUUACUGGGCGUAAAGCGCGCGCAGGCGGUCUUCCAAGUCAGUGGUGAAAGCCCGGAGCUCAACUCCGGAACUGCCAUUGAAACUGUAAGACUUGAGGAUGAGAGAGGUGAGUGGAAUUCCCAGUGUAGAGGUGAAAAUUCGUAGAUAUUGGGAAGAACACCGGUGGCGAAGGCGACUCACUGGCUCAUAUCUGACGCUCAGGCGCGACAGCGUGGGGAUCAAACAGG
rnacentral:rRNA from 1 species